UCUUAUAGAUAAGCAAGGAAAGUGUUUUCUUUAGGUGGAAUCUACUCCUGGUGAAGACGCAGUGAA
rnacentral:pre_miRNA from 1 species